rnacentral:lncRNA from 1 species
CAUACCUAAGUGGUGACUUUGGGCUUAAAAUUGUGUUAACAUUGUGAAUGUUGGUUUUGAAUGACUUUACUACCUGUGGAUCAUUAUCAAAGUGACUAAUCCUUCUUAAGAGUGGAGCAUAUGCGUCAAGUUUUACUCAACAACAAUCUGAGAAUACUGUGAAACUGGAGAAAUGCCUUAAGCUCAUACAGCAACUUACAUGCAUUCUAAGGAAGAAGGUAAAACAAAAGCUGAGCUACUGCAGCAUUAGCUGACCAGACAGCUCCUGACCAAGCCUCGGCUUCUAGCAGACAUUGAAUUAUCUCUCCUACUGAAGCAAUGUGAAUCAUAGCAAAGGACUCAUGGAGAAUGGAGAGCCAUGUAUCGUCAGCACAAUGAUAGCAUCUAGUUCAGCAUCUCACUUCUAAACUUCUCAGUGGUUUCCAUAACACUUUGAGUAGGAGGAAAGAAGAGGAGGCAAGGACUAGUCAUACAAUUAGGCAAAUGGCUGUCUACUAUUUACUACUUCCCUGCUACACGUUUUCCCACAAAUACAAGCUCAGUCUCUCCCUAUCUAUACUUGCUGAGGCUGUGGGCUAGUUUAGAAUAGAAUGUAAGCAGCAGAGCACUCAUCAGCUGAAGUCAGCUGAACAAUACACAACAUUGACACAGACAACUUGCUGUUAAUAUCAUCUAGUGAAACUCAUCAUUAGUAUCAUAAAAUAUUUUUAGUUCAAUGCCUGAAGCCACCUAAAAUGGGUGUUAAGAAAUUCAAAAGAAUUUAUUCUUAUGAAAGGUCCUAUCAUCCCUCUUUUCUAGAACCAGGAUAUUCAAGCCAGCUUGCAACAGUCAUAAAUUCUCACAAAUUGCUGACCCAACAGAGGGUUUUCAUCUAUGUGCACGCGGAUGUCACAAAUAGCCAUUAUGCUCACUGAAACAAAGCUACAGAAAAAUCUGAAAACUUACCCAAAGUAAGUCUACAGUAGUCUAGAGCAAGCUGAAUGCUUAUGGCAUCAAUACCAUUUUAGUGGUGUCUGCAUGCACAAAUAUUUUAGUACAGUGUUUUCAGGAUAGUCCCACAAUAAAGGGUAGAGUCAAUGUGAUAUAUAUAUAUAUAGUAUAUAGAUAUAAAUAGCCAUCCACUUGAAUCUACUGAUCAACUUUUCUCACUAACAAGAGAAACUGCUUUUUAAAAGACUGUACACAGCUAGCCCAGCUCCCCAGGUGACCUGAAAGGAAUAAAAUUCUUGUGAUAGGUAAAGCAAGAAGGCUAGGAUAAAGCUACAUUAAACUGGGAGUAAAUGAAUACAUGAAAUUUGUUCCUACUCUGACCAAUGUUAUUAAUUUCCAAAUGACAUAAAAUGAGAAGGAAAGAUGAUUCUGUGCAUAUCCUUUUCAUCUAUACCCUUCUCACGGUUCCACAUCUCAGAAAGAAGAGACUGUUGUAUCACAAGUUUACUUCAUUCGUGUUCUCUUGCAGGAGAUGGAAAGGAAAAGAACUGAUGGUUUGCAGGAAUGCAAAAUAAGGGCACUGGCUACGGCAAUGUCCAGAGAACACGUGGCUUGCAGAAGCUGGAUGGCUUCAUUCUCCCUUGGAAUAACGACACCCAGGAUCUGCCCAGCUCCAGAGCCAUCACUAAGGAUGUGCUAUAUAUAACACAGGAUAUAAGGAUAUAUAUAUGUAUAUAACACAGAUAUAACAAAGGAUGUGUUAGAUACAUGUUUUAAGGGUCAGGCAACUAGGGCAAGUGUAAUUUUACCACUGCAUGUCCUCCAUGAACAGGUGUUUCUCAAAUCAGAGAACAACCCAAGUUGGAAGGAUGGUCCACAGGGACCACUGAGACAAACUCCUGUCUCCACUCAGGACCACCCUGAAGCCCUCAUUCAAACCUUAUGUCUGAGAGCAUUGUCCAAACACCCCUUCAGCUCCGGCAGCUUGGGGCCAUGAUCACUCCCCUGGGGAGCUUUUUCCAUGCCCGUAGUCCUCUGGAGAAGAACCUUUUUCCAGUGCAGCUCCAUGAACUCAUCUGAGUCCAUUGUGCAGCCCAAUUAUUCAGGCCUCUGGUUGGGUAGCAGAAUUAUGUUUGGCCAACGAGGCUGCCAAAUACUUCAAAAAACAACUGGCUACUAGGCAUUAUGUUGGUCCUGGUGUCACACAGAUGGCACUUCUUGGUUAGUUUCAGGGAAAAAGUGUCAGAGCAGGGAUCUGAGAAGACUUGAAGUACAAUUUUACAUUAGUCCUACAGAUACAGGGUACUGCCAAAGGUGUGAAAUUCUUAAAUAGAAAUAUCAAGAAUAUUACAAAGAAUAAUCUACAGGUGUGAUAGUAUAAUUUAAAAGAUCCCACUGAACCCUGGCUUUCAGCUAUUACUCUGACAUGUACAUAUAAAGACUCUCAAUUUCCCCCAUUUUUUUCACCACUCAUAAUUUUCUAUAUAUUACACAAUAAUUCCCAUUUAUACACUAAUUCUCUUUCUCCUUUCAUCUGUUAACCGUCAGGUUCCCAAAUGCCUACAGUACAUGUGUUGCCUCUGCCUUCAGUGUUUUUCCAUCCUCUUCCACUCCUUCAUUGCUCAUCUUCAUUCUCAAACAAAUCCAGGACAGGUAGCUGUGUGCAGCACUCAGAUUAGCUAGCCUAAGCACAGGAAUCCCUAAAAGAUAACCAUGCUUCCGCAUGUGCAUCUGUUUCAGUAGUUGUUCUUACAUGUCUCUGAAUGUAUUUAACAUAAUUAUAUGUGUUAUUGCACCAGGAUUCAUCAUUAUAGAACAGUCAAAAAAGUCUAUCCCACAGAGUGUGGAGAGGGGAUUUUGAGGAAUGCAUUGUAAUACUACCAGUACAUCAUCUGUUUUGCUCUAUUUCCCAUAGUAUGUUAUUUAAUUUAGCCUUGAUAAAGUACUGGGAGGCUUUAAACCAUGCUCUUAGUCAUGAAAAUGUUCACAAAGCAGAAAACAGAAAAUGUUUUCUGCAUGGAACAAAGGGAACAAAAGGCAAGAAUUAUACCUAAAAGUACCAGGCUACAGUGUGAACAGAUUUUAUUGGACAUUUGUAUAAAAUGUCAGAGCACUUCAUUCUGGAGUAAUUCUGUCCUUAUUGCUCAUUUUUCUUCCCCCUUCUACUUCAGAGCUUCUUUUUCAGUACUUUUUUUUUUUUUUUUUUUUUUUUUUUUACUUUUGAAAUCUCUGCUUCUUAAAGACCACUUUUGCAUCCGUGUUUUUUUUUUUCUUUUCUUUUUUUCCCCAUGGUUUUAAAUCUACAUGUUCAGAAGUAAAUCCUGUGGCUCCUCCUGUUUCCCAGCUGUUUAGUGCUUCUCAUGCUACCUCCCUCUUGCCUGCUUAAAGAAAACACAGGGGGGAUGCUUAGGAACUGAGAAAAGGAAAAUAGUGAAUGGUUUAAAACACUGAGGAUCACAAUAGCCAGAAAAGUUGUGAGACAGAGGACAGAAUAGUUGAAGUUGAGGCAGCUUAUUUUUAGUCCUUCUUUUCCCAGCAGCUUGUUUGCUUCCUAUAACUGAGUCUGGAUUGCAGUAACAUCUCUACAAAGUAUUUCAGAACAGCCUAAUGUCCUAACAAGGAGUAUGUCCAGUUUUCCAUUUUCAAGAAGUUCAGGCACCCUGCAAGCAAAACUUGGCUCUGUAAAAAUCUCAGAAGCGGGCAAUUUUAACUAGCCUGAGAUAGAGGAGGUAAGAGUGAUCCUGUCUGUAGUCAGCCUUUGCAGCCUCAAAGUAUGGACAUCUUCAGCAUUAGAGGAGCGCAGAGAUAAGGGAGGCAUUGUUGCACAUAUAACACUUCCCAUUUUCCAUGCUGCUUCAGCUGUUAAAUUUUCAUCUGCCUGUAGAUGCUGAAAUAUAUCCACAAAUUGAAGACUCCUAUACCUCAAAUGAAACUAACAUAUAAAGGAUAAUGUUUUACAAGUGAAAUGAAUAGGUAGAGUCCGCACAAACACUGAUUUCCAGGUGAAUCCCGCAUAGCUGGGAAACAGAAGAUAUGAAGACACACAUGCUCACAGGUGGUCCAUGUGCUCAUGGAUUUCAUGAGGAGCAUCCCACUGGUUUCAGCAGGAGACAGAUUCCAACCCCUCGGCACAGUAAAACCACACAUUUCUUCCAUCAGUGGCAUGGAGCACUGGCAGGGACACAAACCCAGUUCCUGAGAUUCUGAGAAGACAACACUUGCUCAGCUUUGCAAAAGCCAUCUGGGAUCUUCAGAUAUAAGGACUGAAAUGUUACCUGUUUCAACCUGCAGGAAUAUUGCCACCAGGUUUGGGAAGGCCUGGAUUUCACCUAAAGCACUGCAAACAACAUGUUUACAUCUGCAUCUUAUUGAUCGCUUUUUGUUGGCCUGUUUGAAAAAAGUAACAGGAGAAUGGGGGGGGGGAACCACACACACACACAAAAAAAAAAAAAAAGAAAGAAAAAGAGAAAAAAUAAAUGAAUUGCAGGGUGGAAGGAGUGGGAAAAGAGCUCGGUUGUGAGGGAGCCACAGCAAUACUACUAAAACAACUACUUUGUUUUAUAUUGGGUCUACUUCCAUGGCAUCUAACACCACAUGUAAAUGCUAAUACUCCCUGAAUGUUAUCACUUCAUGAAGGUUCAACAGCAAAGUGAUCUAAAAGACAGUGCUGUAAUGAAAUGCCAUGAGGUUAGGAACUGUCAGCACUCCAUCGCAAACCACCACAACACGCAAUGAACUGGGAAAUUAGCAAACUUUCUCCAAUAUAUACUAAAGGUAAAAAGAAUAAAAGAUAUAUAAAUGAAUAUUCUGUUAUCUGCAGACAUCACUGUGGUGUUACAACACCAGACAAGAACACAGUGCAUCAGAAAUGACAAAUAAGGGAUCCCACUUUUCUGAUCCUUUUAUUGGGAAGAUGUAGUGAUUUCUGAAUCUCCACCCAGAUAAGGAAACUUCAGUCUAAAAAUUUUCUGUUCUAUGAAAUACUCAUAGAUAAGGCACUUCCACCUUUUAAAAUAAUGAAUUAAAUGCUUGCUCUGCAAAAUGCACCUACGCUGUAUGCAAGGAUGUUGACCUCUCGCCAUCGCUUCCUAUGAGUUCACACAACGCAGCGGUGACACGGGGCCAUGGGGAAGCCCCCGCACUCUGCACGCACGUGUCACCUCCCGCACUCCUCCACCCCUGCACGGAGCAUCCCACACAGCUCCCGGCCUGGGCUGCUGGCGGGGCAGUCGCAGCUCAUGGUGGCUGCAGGAAGCGGCACAUCUGCCCUCGGCGCGCCCCGCUGCC